rnacentral:lncRNA from 1 species
UUAUAAACUAGAGAACUCCAAAUGCAUCAGUUAUACAAAAUUAUGUAGUGAGCCCAUGAUGUAAACGGACAAAAGAUGCAUCUAUCCCAAAAAUUAUGAACUAUAAAAAUUGAUAAAAAGAAACAUACAAAUAACAACUGAGUGGCUCAAUUCGGUAAUUCAACAGGCUCCGAUACGGCUCAACACAGCUACUGUCUGAUAAGAAAAAGAGAGAUGAAAUAUAUGAGCUUGUAACUCAAUGAAUGAAUAAUUUUGUAAACAAAUAUACUUUUUUUCCAUUUAUGCUAAAUUUCUAAAAACUGGUUUAUAAUAAAAUAUCAUUACACAGUACUUUAAGUUAAAUUUUUAUUUUUUAAACUGAAUAAGCUAAAUUCUGUAUUCUGAAAUCUGAUAAGCUGUAUAAUACUGAAAAAAUCACAUCAAAAAGGUACCCGGAAUAACUAUACUAAUGUAUCAGUUAGCACCGAUAGACAUAGCAAAGCUACUCAAUUCUGUAAAUCUGAAAUUCUGUAAUUCUGGUCAUGCACACGCAGAGCUAUCUAAUCUUACACUAUGAAAACAUAUUCACAAUAGUGCAGAGCAAGUAAAAUCAUCAUAACUGGUCAUACACUGUGAAAAUACAUUCACACCAGUGCACACUAGGGUAAAAUCACCUAGGUACUUUCUGGUGAUUUUAAAAUAAUUUUAAUUAUACUAAAAUAUUUAAUACUCAUAUAACAUGCUAAUCAAAUAAUUUAAAUGAACUGAACUAUAUUUAUCUUUUAAAAAAAAUAAUUGUUUAUAAAUCAAUCUCAUUCUGGAAAUCAUGCUAUCAAAUCUACUGCAUGAAAUAAUAAAUUUUCUGAUUUAAUAUAAAUUUAUUAAAUACUAAUUUCUGAAAAUAAGUUUAUAUCCACUCACUCAAUAUGAGCUACAGACUAAGUCGAUCGGUAAACUUUUCCAAUUUCUUCGUCACCACUUGAAAUACAUUAUAAAAUAACUAAUUUAGCCACUAUUAAAAUCAAGAAAUCUUUAUAUCUAAUGAUAGAACUUAAAUUAAAUUUCUCGAUACUUGAAUAAAUUCCCAAACUUUCCUUUAUUAAUUGGAGCUAAUUACACUUUAUGAUCCCUUGCUUUCAUUCCAAGCAUUAAUGUAACUACCAUUUCAUUCUAAUGACAACUUGUCACAAUGCUUCGACCAAUUAAAUUUUCCUCUAGUUCCACAAUUUCAUAUUUCCAAAUAAUUAUUUCCUCAUUUUCAUCAUUUCCAUAAACACUAUUUAAUCCAAAAAUCCCAAAUGAAAUUUCUAGGGUUUGCUAAAAAUAAUAUUCCUUAUCUAACUGAAAUUGGAAAUGAAGUACUCCCCAAGCUUGAGCUCCAAUUCGCACAUAUCACACCUAAAUUUGAAAAUUUCUACUACAAGUUAAACCCCUAGAAUUUCAACAUAAAUCAUACUUUUAUCACUUGAAAACAAAUGAAAAAAUUAAACCCAAACUUGAAGAGGAUAACCUUACCUCACUUCCUCUUCUUCCCUUUUCUUCCUUUCUUCCUUCUUUCUCUCUCUUUUUCUUCCCUUUUUUCCUUAGUUUUUCCCCUCUUUCUUGGCCUUCCUGCUCUCUGCCCCUUUUUUC